GACGAACGCUGGCGGCGGGCCUAACACAUGCAAGUCGAACGAAGUGGCGAACGGGUGAGUAACGCGUAAUCAACCUGCCCUUCAGAGGGGGACAACAGUUGGAAACGACUGCUAAUACCGCAUACUGACGGGGGGGAGUGUGACUGAUUAGCUAGUUGGAGGGGUAACGGCUCACAAAGGCGAUGAGCAGUAGCCGGUCUUAGAGGAUGAACGGCCACAUUGGGACUGAGACACGGCCCAGACUCCUACGGGAGGCAGCAGUGGGGAAUCUUCCGCAAUGGACGAAAGUCUGACGGAGCAACGCCGCGGGAGUGAUGACGGCCUUCGGGUUGUAAAGCUCUGUUAAUCGGGACGCGGUACCGGAAUAGAAAGCCACGGCUAACUACGUGCCAGCAGCCGCGGUAAUAC
rnacentral:rRNA from 1 species